CAAUAGCGUAUAUUAAAGUUGUUGCAGUUAAAAAGCUCGUAGUUGGAUUUGUGGCGUACGGUGUGUUCCGGGCACUUGUUGUCUGAGUAACCUGCUGUUGCCAUCCUUGGGUGGAACCUGUGUGGCAUUAGGUUGUCGUGCAGGGGAUGCCCAUCAUUUACUGUGAAAAAAUUAGAGUGUUCAAAGCAGGCUUAUGCCGUUGAAUAUAUUAGCAUGGAAUAAUGAGAUAGGACUUUUUUGCUAUUUUGUUGGUUUGCGCAAAGAGGUAAUGAUUAAUAAGGACAGUUGGGGGUAUUCGUAUUCCAUUGUCAGAGGUGAAAUUCUUGGAUUUUUGGAAGACGAACUACUGCGAAAGCAUUUACCAAGGAUGUUUUCAUUAA
rnacentral:rRNA from 1 species